AAGGAAGAGGAAGAAAUCAAAGAGCUCGUGGACAAGGGGCUCGUCAGAGAGGUGGGCAUGGGCCCCAUCAAGGUGGUAAAAGAGAUAACAGAUCCAGUCUACCUCAAAGCAGCUGCCUUGGAUCCGGAUUUUUCUCUGAUGUGGGUGGAGCACCAUGUGCUGGUCAAGGAGGAGGUCAAGGAGGAGGUGGCACAAAGAGUGAAAGAACUGAUUCUGCAAGAUGCUACAGGGACUGAGCAAGCUGUGCCUCUUGUUGAUGAGGAAGAGUGAGAGGACCAUAGUCUUGGACAAGAAGAAGGGCUGUUUGCAGCAUGCUGUAAGAGGCAGAAGAAAGCUGUUGGGACCACUCCAGCACUACAGCUAAGUCACUACCUUGACAAAUGCGAAGGACAGAAUGCCCUCUUGUUCUGGGCAAUGAACAGGAAGGCUCUUCCUUCACUGUCCCGAGUGGCCAUCAGGGUCUUGGCAGUGCCUGCCUCCAGUGUUCCGGUGGAGCAUGUCUUCAUCCAUGGUGGCAUCAUACUGCGGCCUCAUCGUGCACAAAUGACUGACAGACUUUUAUCGAAUUUGGUCUUUUGCAAAUGCAAUGCAUCAUAGGGCCCUGAGAUAAGAGAAAAAAUUCAACUGUUUAUGCAUUAUACACACACACAUGUAGUCUCCAUGUUCAGGUUUUAUCUCCCGUCUUUGGGAUCUAUAUUUUUUUCUCAGACAUUCAUUGUUCAAAUUGUAGGCCUCAGUUCAGUGUCAGUUGUUUAGAUGUACCUUUAAAUAAAUGAUUGUAACUUUAUGGCAGGAUUUUAGGUGUCUAGAGUAUAUCUGGAGAGAGAGAUAGAGGGAGAGAGAGCACUACAAUAUUUUGUUUUUGUUGUCAUAUUGAUGUCUUUCU